rnacentral:rRNA from 1 species
UACGGAGGGGGCGAGCGUUUAUUCGGAAUUAUUGGGCGUAAAGGGCGCGUAGGCGGCCUUGCAAGUCAAAGGUGAAAUCCCUCGGCUCAACUGAGGAACUGCCUUUGAAACUGCAUGCUUGAGGCCGGGAGGGGGUAGCGGAAUUCCCAGUGUAGCGGUGAAAUGCGUAGAUAUUGGGAGGAACACCAGUGGCGAAGGCGGCUACCUGGACCGGUUCUGACGCUGAUGCGCGAAAGCGUGGGUAGCAAACAGG